GCAUAUCAAUAAGCGGAGGAAAAGAAACUAACAAGGAUUCCCCUAGUAGCGGCGAGCGAAGCGGGAAGAGCUCAAAUUUAUAAUCUGGCACCUUCGGUGUCCGAGUUGUAAUCUCUAGAAAUGUUUUCCGCGUUGGACCGCACACAAGUCUGUUGGAAUACAGCGGCAUAGUGGUGAGACCCCCGUAUAUGGUGCGGACGCCCAGCGCUUUGUGAUACAUUUUCGAAGAGUCGAGUUGUUUGGGAAUGCAGCUCAAAUUGGGUGGUAAAUUCCAUCUAAAGCUAAAUAUUGGCGAGAGACCGAUAGCGAACAAGUACCGUGAGGGAAAGAUGAAAAGCACUUUGGAAAGAGAGUUAACAGUACGUGAAAUUGUUGGAAGGGAAACGCUUGAAGUCAGACUUGCUUGCCGAGCAAUCGGUUUGCAGGCCAGCAUCAGUUUUCCGGGAUGGAUAAUGGUAGAGAGAAGGUAGCAGUUUCGGCUGUGUUAUAGCUCUCUGCUGGAUACAUCUUGGGGGACUGAGGAACGCAGUGUGCCUUUGGCGGGGGUUUC
rnacentral:rRNA from 1 species